rnacentral:rRNA from 1 species
AGCUCCAAUAGCGUAUAUUAAAGUUGCUGCAGUUAAAAAGCUCGUAGUUGCAUUUCCGAGGCAAGGGAUUAGUCCGACCUUUGGUGGGUAUUUAAUCCUCUUGCCUCGUCCUUGAGUGGUGCUUCUUGGUAUUAAGUUAUCGAGGAGAUAGCCGCUCAUCGUUUACUGUGAGAAAAUUAGAGUGUUCAAAGCAGGCUUAUGCCGUUGAAUAUAUUAGCAUGGAAUAAUAAGAUAGGACCUCGGUACUAUUUUGUUGGUUUGAGAACCAAGGUAAUGAUGAAUAGGGACAGUUGGGGGUAGUCGUAUUCAGUUGUCAGAGGUGAAAUUCUUAGAUUUACGGAAGACGAACUACUGCGAAAGCAUUUACCAAGGAUGUUGUCA